UACAGAGGUCUCAAGCGUUGUUCGGAUUCAUUGGGCGUAAAGGGUGUGUAGGUGGCGCUGUAAGUCGGGUGUGAAAUCUCGGGGCUUAACUCCGAAACUGCAUUCGAUACUGCGGUGCUUGAGGACUGGAGAGGAGACUGGAAUUCAUGGUGUAGCAGUGAAAUGCGUAGAGAUCAUGAGGAAGACCAGUGGCGAAGGCGGGUCUCUGGACAGUUCCUGACGCUCAGGUGCGAAAGCUAGGGGAGCGAACAGG
rnacentral:rRNA from 1 species